UCCCUGGGAGUCCAGCGGUGAGAUUCUGCACUUUUACUGCUGAGGGCCCAGGUUCAAUCCCUGGUUGGAGAA
rnacentral:tRNA from 1 species